GGUUAAGCGACUAAGCGUACACGGUGGAUGCCCUGGCAGUCAGAGGCGAUGAAGGACGUGCUAAUCUGCGAAAAGCGUCGGUAAGGUGAUAUGAACCGUUACAGCCGGCGAUGUCCGAAUGGGGAAACCCAGUGCAAUUCGUUGCACUAUCGUUAACUGAAUACAUAGGUUAACGAGGCGAACCGGGGGAACUGAAACAUCUAAGUACCCCGAGGAAAAGAAAUCAACCGAGAUUCCCCCAGUAGCGGCGAGCGAACGGGGAGCAGCCCAGAGUCUGAAUCAGCUUGUGUGUUAGUGGAACGGUCUGGAAAGUCCGACGGUACAGGGUGAUAGUCCCGUACACCAAAAUGCACAGGUUGUGAACUCGAAGAGUAGGGCGGGACACGUGGUAUCCUGUCUGAAUAUGGGGGGACCAUCCUCCAAGGCUAAAUACUCCUGACUGACCGAUAGUGAACCAGUACCGUGAGGGAAAGGCGAAAAGAACCCCGGCGAGGGGAGUGAAAAAGAACCUGAAACCGUGUACGUACAAGCAGUGGGAGCACCUUCGGGUGUGACUGCGUACCUUUUGUAUAAUGGGUCAGCGACUUAUAUUCUGUAGCAAGGUUAACCGUAUAGGGGAGCCGCAGGGAAACCGAGUCUUAACUGGGCGUUAAGUUGCAGGGUAUAGACCCGAAACCCGGUGAUCUAGCCAUGGGCAGGUUGAAGGUUGGGUAACACUAACUGGAGGACCGAACCGACUAAUGUUGAAAAAUUAGCGGAUGACUUGUGGCUGGGGGUGAAAGGCCAAUCAAACCGGGAGAUAGCUGGUUCUCCCCGAAAGCUAUUUAGGUAGCGCCUCGUGAAUUCAUCUUCGGGGGUAGAGCACUGUUUCGGCUAGGGGGUCAUCCCGACUUACCAACCCGAUGCAAACUACGAAUACCGAAGAAUGUUAUCACGGGAGACACACGGCGGGUGCUAACGUCCGUCGUGAAGAGGGAAACAACCCAGACCGCCAGCUAAGGUCCCAAAGUCACAGUUAAGUGGGAAACGAUGUGGGAAGGCACAGACAGCCAGGAUGUUGGCUUAGAAGCAGCCAUCAUUUAAAGAAAGCGUAAUAGCUCACUGGUCGAGUCGGCCUGCGCGGAAGAUGUAACGGGGCUAAACUGUGCACCGAAGCUGCGGCAGCGACACUAUGUGUUGUUGGGUAGGGGAGCGUUCUGUAAGCCUGCGAAGGUGGCCUGUGAGGGUUGCUGGAGGUAUCAGAAGUGCGAAUGCUGACAUAAGUAACGAUAAUGCGGGUGAAAAGCCCGCACGCCGGAAGACCAAGGGUUCCUGUCCAACGUUAAUCGGGGCAGGGUGAGUCGACCCCUAAGGCGAGGCCGAAAGGCGUAGUCGAUGGGAAACAGGUUAAUAUUCCUGUACUUGGUGUUACUGCGAAGGGGGGACGGAGAAGGCUAUGUUAGCCGGGCGACGGUUGUCCCGGUUUAAGCAUGUAGGCGGAGGUUCCAGGUAAAUCCGGUACCUUUUUAACGCUGAGGUGUGAUGACGAGGCACUACGGUGCUGAAGUAACAAAUGCCCUGCUUCCAGGAAAAGCCUCUAAGCAUCAGGUAACAUUAAAUCGUACCCCAAACCGACACAGGUGGUCAGGUAGAGAAUACCAAGGCGCUUGAGAGAACUCGGGUGAAGGAACUAGGCAAAAUGGUGCCGUAACUUCGGGAGAAGGCACGCUGAUAUGUAGGUGAAGCCCCUGCGGGUGGAGCUGAAAUCAGUCGAAGAUACCAGCUGGCUGCAACUGUUUAUUAAAAACACAGCACUGUGCAAACACGAAAGUGGACGUAUACGGUGUGACGCCUGCCCGGUGCCGGAAGGUUAAUUGAUGGGGUUAUCCGUAAGGAGAAGCUCUUGAUCGAAGCCCCGGUAAACGGCGGCCGUAACUAUAACGGUCCUAAGGUAGCGAAAUUCCUUGUCGGGUAAGUUCCGACCUGCACGAAUGGCGUAAUGAUGGCCAGGCUGUCUCCACCCGAGACUCAGUGAAAUUGAACUCGCUGUGAAGAUGCAGUGUACCCGCGGCAAGACGGAAAGACCCCGUGAACCUUUACUAUAGCUUGACACUGAACAUUGAGCCUUGAUGUGUAGGAUAGGUGGGAGGCUUUGAAGCGUGGACGCCAGUCUGCGUGGAGCCAACCUUGAAAUACCACCCUUUAAUGUUUGAUGUUCUAACGUUGGCCCCUAAUCGGGGUUGCGGACAGUGUCUGGUGGGUAGUUUGACUGGGGCGGUCUCCUCCCAAAGAGUAACGGAGGAGCACGAAGGUUAGCUAAUCCUGGUCGGACAUCAGGAGGUUAGUGCAAUGGCAUAAGCUAGCUUGACUGCGAGCGUGACGGCGCGAGCAGGUGCGAAAGCAGGUCAUAGUGAUCCGGUGGUUCUGAAUGGAAGGGCCAUCGCUCAACGGAUAAAAGGUACUCCGGGGAUAACAGGCUGAUACCGCCCAAGAGUUCAUAUCGACGGCGGUGUUUGGCACCUCGAUGUCGGCUCAUCACAUCCUGGGGCUGAAGUAGGUCCCAAGGGUAUGGCUGUUCGCCAUUUAAAGUGGUACGCGAGCUGGGUUUAGAACGUCGUGAGACAGUUCGGUCCCUAUCUGCCGUGGGCGCUGGAGAAUUGAGGGGGGCUGCUCCUAGUACGAGAGGACCGGAGUGGACGCAUCACUGGUGUUCGGGUUGUCAUGCCAAUGGCAUUGCCCGGUAGCUAAAUGCGGAAGAGAUAAGUGCUGAAAGCAUCUAAGCACGAAACUUGCCCCGAGAUGAGUUCUCCCUGAGACUUUAAGUCUCCUGAAGGAACGUUAAAGACGAUGACGUUGAUAGGUCGGGUGUGUAAGCGUAGCGAUACGUUGAGCUAACCGAUACUAAUGAACCGUGAGGCUUAACCUU
rnacentral:rRNA from 1 species